rnacentral:lncRNA from 1 species
GCUUGAGGUCUAGUUGUCGCUGGACGAUUCUCCCACAGCACGAGUGCAAGCACUGCCCCAUCGCUAGGCCCCUUUUGGGAAACGAUUUCUACCUUCCUUUGGGUCCACUCAAAAUCCAAAAACCUUAUCCUUGCGUCUUGUAGUUCGCUCUGAGGCCGCACAAUGAGUGCCAUUGAUUCUCACUUAUCUUCUUAUUGGAAAAUAUAUCCCAAAGUC